rnacentral:ncRNA from 1 species
UUUCCCUCAGGAUAGCUGGAGCUCGCGUACGAGUUCUAUCGGGUAAAGCUAAUGAUUAGAGGCCUCGAGGGCACAAUGCCCUCGACUUAUUCUCAAACUUUAAAUAGGAAGGACUCCAAAAUUUACCUAUUUUCUUUUUUAAUCAUCGACCCACUGUAUAUGGACAACUAACCUCGAAAUUUCCAUAUUAUUGAUUAUUAAAAUAGUCUUGCUUUA